rnacentral:rRNA from 1 species
GACGAACCGUGCCAACGUUGUUCGGAAUCACUGGGCUUAAAGGGCGCGUAGGCGGACUGCCAAGUCCGGGGUGAAAUCUUUCGGCUUAACCGGAAAAGGGCCUUGGAAACUGGCGGUCUCGAGGGAGGUAGGGGCCUGUGGAACUUCGGGUGGAGCGGUGAAAUGCGUUGAUAUCCGAAGGAACGCCGGUGGCGAAAGCGACGGGCUGGAUCUCUUCUGACGCUGAGGCGCGAAAGCCAGGGGAGCAAACGGGG